rnacentral:pre_miRNA from 1 species
AAAUAGCACUGUUUUGCUAUCCUCUGCUAAUAAUACAAUGACACAUGGAAAAUUUAUCUCAUGUGUCAUUGUGUUAUAGGCCGAGAAUAGCAAAAAGUGCUACUC